UACGAAGGGGGCUAGCGUUGCUCGGAAUCACUGGGCGUAAAGGGUGCGUAGGCGGGUCUUUAAGUCAGGGGUGAAAUCUUCGGGCUCAACUCGAAGCCUGCACGAGAUACUGCCGGGCUUGAGUGUGGGAGAGGUGAGUGGAAUUUCCGGUGUAGCGAUGAAAUGCGUAGAUAUCGGAAGGAACACCUGUGGCGAAAGCGGCUCACUGGACCACAACUGACGCUGAGGCACGAAAGCUAGGGGAGCAAACAGG
rnacentral:rRNA from 1 species